UUGGAGGGCAAGUCUGGUGCCAGCAGCCGCGGUAAUUCCAGCUCCAAUAGCGUAUAUUAAAGUUGUUGCAGUUAAAAAGCUCGUAGUUGAAUUUCGGGGUCAGUAGGCUGGUCGUGCCACAGGUAUGUACUGGUCUCACUGAUUCCUCCUUCCUGAUGAACCGUAAUGCCAUUAAUUUGGUGUUGCGGGGAAUCUGGACUGUUACUUUGAAAAAAUUAGAGUGUUUAAAGCAGGCUAACGCUUGAAUACAUUAGCAUGGAAUAAUGAAAUAGGACGAUCGAUCCUAUUUUGUUGGUUUCUAGGAUUGACGUAAUGAUUAAUAGGGAUAGUUGGGGGCAUUAGUAUUCAAUUGUCAGGGGUGAAAUUCUUGGAUUUAUUGAAGACUAACUACUGCGAAAGCAUUUGCCAAGGAUGUUUUCAUUAAUCAAGAACGAAAGUUAGGGGAUCGAAGACGAUCAGAUACCGUCGUAGUCUUAACCAUAAACUAUGCCGACUAGGGAUCGGAUGAUGUUAAUUUUUUAAUGACUCAUUCGGCGCCUUACGGGAAA
rnacentral:rRNA from 1 species